UGGAAGACUAGUGAUUUUGUUGUUGUUAAAUAUUGACUUUCAUGACAACAAGUCUCUGUCUCCCUCA
ensembl:miRNA gmo-mir-7a-3 gmo-mir-7a-3